AUGAUCAAGGACCCCACAGACAUGAUAUCAUCCGCUACAAGCCACAAAGUCAGGAGUCUUCUCCUCCAGCACAUUGUUUAAAACUUCCCAUUCAGAAGGUAGGGGAGACCACAGAGGCACAGUUUCCCUGAACAGGGGUGGUGCUGUUUUGUGUUUUCUCAGUAUGUUGAGUUGCAGGUGGUGGCUGCUGUUCAGAUUGGAGUAUGAUGGCACCUACUUUAAAAUGGUAGCAGCCGAGGCUGGCUCGACUCCUUCUUUUUCCUGGAUGCCAACAAGACAGUGCUGUGCUGUGACCACUAAUUCUGCUAGUGUUAAUAUACGAUAUGUACAGAAUGUCAAUAACAUCUAAAAGAUCA